rnacentral:rRNA from 1 species
UAGGGAAUCUUCGGCAAUGGACGGAAGUCUGACCGAGCAACGCCGCGUGAGUGAAGAAGGUUUUCGGAUCGUAAAGCUCUGUUGUUAGAGAAGAACGUUGGUAGGAGUGGAAAAUCUACCAAGUGACGGUAACUAACCAGAAAGGGACGGCUAACUACGUGCCAGCAGCCGCGGUAAUACGUAGGUCCCGAGCGUUGUCCGGAUUUAUUGGGCGUAAAGCGAGCGCAGGCGGUUCUUUAGGUCUGAAGUUAAAGGCAGUGGCUUAACCAUUGUACGCUUUGGAAACUGGAGGACUUGAGUGCAGAAGGGGAGGGUGGAAUUCCAUGUGUAGCGGUGAAAUGCGUAGAUAUAUGGAGGAACACCGGUGGCGAAAGCGGCUCUCUGGUCUGUAACUGACGCUGAGGCUCGAAAGCGUGGGGAGCAAACAGG